GACGAACGCUGGCGGCGUCGCCUAACACAUGCAAGUCGAACGAGGUCGAUCCGGUAGCAAUACCGGUGAAGGCCUAGUGGCGAACGGGUGAGUAGCACGUGAGCAACCUGCCCCGAAGACCGGGACAACACCGGGAAACCGGUGCUAAUACCGGAUGCCCCCACCGAGUCGCAUGGCGCGGUGAGGAAAUGGAUUCCGCUUCGGGAGGGGCUCGCGGCCUAUCAGCUUGUUGGUGGGGUAACGGCUCACCAAGGCUUCGACGGGUAGCUGGUCUGAGAGGACGAUCAGCCACACUGGGACUGAGACACGGCCCAGACUCCUACGGGAGGCAGCAGUGGGGAAUCUUGCACAAUGGGCGAAAGCCUGAUGCAGCAACGCCGCGUGAGGGACGAAGGCC
rnacentral:rRNA from 1 species